UUAUAUGAGCCGGAUAACUGAGAGGACUAGCAUUACAAUGAAGGCACAGUUAACGAAUAAUUGGGUGAGUUGAUGGACUAAAGAAACCCUGAUUGGCUCAAUUCAGACGGACAGAUAAGCGACUGGAGAGACGGACGGACUGACGAACAUCUGAACAAGUAUAGACAAAUAAUGGGGCAACCAAGCGCACCAAUUCGGAAGAGAUUAUUGUAUUCUAGACAUGGAAACUACAUAAGCUGCGCAGGCGAAAGAGUUUGAAUCAAAUAAAAGUGAAGCGUCUGUUUGUGUGUCCGUACGUUCGUUUGUUUUCCAUAUAUCGUUUGAAUUGAAGAGGUAAGUAUAUCCACUUAAGGCAGUGUAUGGAGACAAUUUAAAAAAAAAAUGCGAGUAAGUAGAUAUUUGCAUCAGUGACUUGCAGCCAAUAACAGAUGGUAAUCUAAAAUCCGUCCCAGAGUCACGUUGUGGUUCGGAGAGCAGAGGAUCAUUUUUACUAUUUCCAGUCUGUCGUGUUUCCUAUGAAGAAAUUUUAACGAGAACUAAACGUUAAUUUGACCCAAAUAUCAAACUCAAAUAUCAAAAAUUGGACAAACACCGCGAAUACAUUUUUCUUCAUAAUACCAGUGAUAUGGGUAUCAAAUAAAAGAACAUGGAGAGUAGAGUGCUAAAAGCAUAGUUGUAGGUGUGCGAGACUCGACCUCCGCCGAAUAUAAGUUUUUUUGUGUUUUUUUUCAUCAAGUUUUAAUUUUCUAACUAUCGUAAGCGUUUUCAUGAACAAUCCGUUUUAAAGAGAGGACUUAAUUCAAGGUAGACGAUCGCUGAGCAGAUCGAAGUACGCAUAUGCAUCUUAAUGGUCAAUUGGGAAGACAACAGCUUUAACCGCAUUCACAGAUAAAUAAACUACCAAAGGAACGAUUUAAUGAUUUAAUCGAUAAGCGAGCGAUACUCUUUUUUCAUAUAAGUUGACGCUGAUCAAAAUGCUUGUCGUUUAAUAUAUUUACGAAACGCAUUAACAAAUUGAAUAUGCCUGCGAGUUUUAUAGAUGGCUAUAACAAUACGUAAUGUCUGUUAAAAUAAUGUUAGGUCAAGACUAUAACUUAUAUAAGUAAUGUAACAAAAUAUGAGGCUAACGUGCUUGUUAAGCACUUGUUUAAACUAUGUCUACGUAACAUUUAAACAUAUAGGAAAAUAUAUAAAUAAACAAUGAUAGAAUAAUAAAUAGAACAAAGAGGUAAACAACUUCUGCAUUCAAUAUAUAAUUGUUACAUAGAUUAACAGAUUAGUUAACUGCCGUCGGUUCAAUUUGAAACUGAUUAAGAUUCGUUUACA